rnacentral:rRNA from 1 species
GACAGAGGGUGCAAACGUUGUUCGGAUUUACUGGGCGUAAAGCGUGUGUAGGCGGCUUCGCAAGUUGGAUGUGAAAUCCCACGGCUCAACCGUGGACGUGCAUCCAAAACUGCGUCGCUAGAGUCUCGGAGAGGAAGGUGGAAUGCUUGGUGUAGAGGUGAAAUUCGUAGAUAUCGUAAGGAAGACCAGUGGCGAAGGCGGGUCUCUGGACAGUUCCUGACGCUGAGGCACGAAGGCCAGGGGAGCAAACGGG